GAUGAACGCUGGCGGCGUGCCUAAUACAUGCCAGUCGAGCGAACAGACGAGGAGCUUGCUCCUCUGACGUUAGCGGCGGACGGGUGAGUAACACGUGGAUAACCUACCUAUAAGACUGGGAUAACUUCGGGACACCGGCGCUAAUACCGGAUAAUCUAUUGCACCGCAUGGUUCAAUAGUGAAAGACGGUUUUGCUGUCACUUAUAGAUGGAUCCGCGCCGCAUUAGCUAGUUGGUAAGGUAACGGCCUAUCAAGGCAACGAUGCGUAGCCGACCGGAUAGGGUGAUCGGCCACACGGGAACUGGGACACGGUCCAGACGCCUACGGGAGGCAGCAGUAGGGAAUCGUCCGCAAUGGGCGAAAGCCUGACGGAGCAGCGCCGCGUGAGUGAUGAAGGUCUUCGGAUCGUAAAACUCUGUUAUUAGGGAAGAACAAAUGUGUAAGUAACUAUGCACGUCUUGACGGUACCUAAUCAGAAAGCCACGGCUAACUACGUG
rnacentral:rRNA from 1 species